GUGGUUUUUAGCAAAGCGCCCUGGGAAAUGAGUUAUCUAAGCGGCGCAUGCAAGAAAAGCCUGACAUUAAUCUUUAAUUAAGGCCUUUACAAUUUCGGACGACAUGCCCGGGAGUCUGGGAGAUACUGCAGGGGAUAGAUAUGAAGAGUGGGCAGCGAGGAGGUUCCAGGCAACAUAUUAUAUCUCGUGCUGAGCUCAUUUUGUCUCAUCAAAGUCAAGGAUCCGAUGAUCCGCCGAGACGUUGCCUCGCUUCUUUCGCUCAGUUGUUCGAAUCACGAGACGCCCUUUAAGGUAAGCUUGGCAUUGAGACUGAGCUUUUUCUUCUUCUUUUUUUAGAAGAACCGAUCUCCAGAGGUAGCAUUAGUGAAUACGAUGUGGAGUGCGGCGGCUUUGUCUCCUCACAGAGAUUUAAAUUGCCAAACAAUCCACGUCUCUUGAUGAGUGUCUGUCUUCUCAUCUCUGUCUGUGGGAACAUAUCAAGGUGACUCCACACAUUGUUUUUCCUUUCUGUUUUUUCAGUAAUUGGUUGUGUAUCUCUUGUUGAAAGAGCCAAGUGAUAAACCCGCUGGUAGAUGCAGCACGCCACUGAAGCUUUCCUCCUUGUUUUGUGACAGCUGCCGCCUUUGUGAUGUUCCACAAACCCGCCACCCCACAGGACACAACCUGUUUCAUUCCGGCUGGAGACUUUCGCAUGAAAAGGACGAGUCUCCCGUGAAACAAAGCUGGACUUUUUUUUGUAAUUGUUUUGAUUGCUCUUCAUCCUCCGUCCCUGAAGGAUGAAGGCAUCACAAAACUGAAAGAGGAG